rnacentral:rRNA from 1 species
UACGAAGGGGGCUAGCGUUGUUCGGAAUUACUGGGCGUAAAGCGUGCGCAGGCGGCUUCUCAAGUCAGGGGUGAAAGCCCAGAGCUCAACUCUGGAACUGCCUUUGAGACUGAGAGGCGUGAGUACGGGAGAGGUGAGUGGAAUUCCCGGUGUAGCGGUGAAAUGCGCAGAUAUCGGGAAGAACACCCGUGGCGAAGGCGGCUCGCUGGGACGGUACUGACGCUGAAAUACGAAAGCGUGGGGAGCAAACAGG